rnacentral:rRNA from 1 species
AACGUAGGAGACGACCGUUAUCCGGAGUUACUGGGCGUAAAGGGCGUGUAGGCGGUUUGUUAAGUCUGGCGUGAAAGCUCUCGGCUAAACCGGGAGAGGUCGUUGGAUACUGGCGAACUCGAGGAUGGUAGAGGCGUGUGGAAUUCCGGGUGUAGUGGUGAAAUGCGUAGAGAUCCGGAGGAACACCAGUGGCGAAGGCGACACGCUGGGCCAUACCUGACGCUAAAGCGCGACAGCAUGGGGAGCAAACGGG